rnacentral:tRNA from 1 species
GUGGGUGUAGCUCAGUAGCACAGUGUGUGCUUAGCAUGCAUGAAGUCCUGGGUUUAAUUCCCAGUACCGCCA